CUAGAUGUCGCUAGUGUCGCUGAUGUUGUUCUUUCAUGGAACAUGGUGAAACGAGGCGAAAUGAGCGAUACAAAUUGUUUCUAAUUUAUACUUAUUCCUGUGAUUUAAAAUACCAAAUUGAACUUCAUAUCUUAUAUGCAUACUGUCAGUCAUUCCAACAAGUUGACUUCAGCGAUCAGUCAAUUUCCAUCCAUUAGAUCCUCAUGCUGUCAAAAGCCUAAAACUCAUGUUUGAAGAACACAUAUAGUGGAAUAUAAAUGUGCCAAGAUAAGGAUCUUUUCCAAAUCUCGCAAUUUUGGUGGUGUACCCUGCAACAGCACGUUUGUUGUUAU